ACCCCCAUAGUGGAUUGGUGAGCAUUUUAAGAUUCCAUCCUCCUUACCUUCUCUUCGCUAAUACCUCCAGCGAUCCCUACACUUGCUAUAGCAACUUCAGUCAAGGCCACUUGAUAAGAUAAUAUCAGCUCCUUCAACGAUGGUUUCUUCACAGAGUUGGAUGAUGCAGAAGGAAAAAUGUGCUCAUUUACUUCUUGAGGCAUAAAAUCCUUCCACUGUUUUCUUACUAUAGUAGGGCAAUAAGGAAAUUUCUACAUGCUUAGGUGUUCAUGCCACGAAAACAACAUCUGUGUCUCACCACUAGUAGUGUAACACGCUUAACCUAUCUCUGUCACCAGAUUAGAGUUAUGGAACAUUACCAAACAAUCGAAACAUCAUUUAAGAUUAAAACAUCUCAAUAAAAUCAUUUUACAUUAAUUAAAUAAAUCUUAUUAAAAACUUAUCAAACAUAUGCAUUUGGGCCUUAAAUCGAGCUUUUAAGGCCCUAAAAAUUAUUUACAAGCAAUUCGGGACUAAUUUGAAACAAGUUAGAAGAUUUGGGAAAAAGUUACAAAAUUUGAAAACAGGGAUCACACGGUCGUGUUUGUAACAACCCUUUUUCAAUAGCGUCAAAAAUAGUGGUUUCAGAACCACGAUUUCAACGAGAGAAUAAAUAUUUUAAUAUUUAUUUAAAGUCUAUGAGAUUAUAAUAGGGUCGUAUUAGGGUUUCGUUAAUAAUUUUUGUAGUUUAAAUGGUUAAUUAGAUAAAAAUUAAAUCGUAAAUGUUGCAAAAGUGGGUUUCUAUUAGUUAAAAGGGCUAAAUGACUAUGGAAAGGAAAGUUAAUGCACUUAGAUGGUAAAUAUACCAUAAUUAAGUUAUUGGAUAGUUAUGGACAAGAUUUAAUUAAAUUUUUUUAUUAGUAAUAAGGGCAAGAUGGUAAAUUAGUAAAUAAACAUAAAGUUAAUUAGGCCAAAUAUCAUCAUCUUCCUCAUUUCUUCAAGCCUUGACUGAAAUCACCAUUAGAAAAAGAGCUUGGAGUAUUUGAUCACUUGUGUCUUGUGCAUGGUAGGUUUUCAAGUCCCGAUUUUAUUGAUUUUUAUGUUUUUGAGCUCGUAUUAACUUAAUCUAACUAGUCUAGGGGGUUAAUCUGCAAAACUGUUAAAGGGUGAUGGACUUGCCAUAAUUGUUUUUGAAUGUGUUUUGAUGUUAAUUGGAAUAUUAUUAGUCUUGGUUGUUAAACAAGCAUGUUUUGUUAAAGGAUUUUUAGUAAAUUUAGGGUUUAAGGAUUUAUUCAUGAAAAUAGUGAAAUUUCAUGGUAAUAUUAUGAAAUGAUGAUUUAAGUGGGUUGAUAUGAGUCCCUAAGAAAUUUGGCUAACUUGUAUGGAGGUUAAAAUAGUUAAAUUUCAAGUUACGAGCUUAAGGAAUAAAUUAUGAAACGUUAAAAUAUUAGGGGUAAUUUUAUAAUCUUACAUAAAUAUGAAUUAUUGAUUGAAUUGAAUACUUGAAGUACUUAAUUGAAUGAAAUUAUCUAUUUAGAUCAAGAUAAACAACAACCGGAUUUAAAUUGAGGAAAUGCGAAAGCUUCGGAUUUGUUUCCAAUUCCACUAUUACAAUCAUAGUUGUCGAGGUAAGUUCGUAUGAAUUAUAAUCGUAUUAGUGUUAGUUAAAUUAAUUUAUAUGUUAUAUCGUGUGAGUUCUAAAUAAACUUGAAUAUACAUGCAUCGAUGCUUUGAGUAAUUGACGGAUAAAUAAUCCCAUUUGAACCUUAAGAAUUUUUAGGAUACGAAUGACAUGUGGUUAGGGAUUUCAUGUUUCAGGUAUUGGUCUUAAAUGUCUUACUGAUGGCUGAGGUCCAACAUUUGUUCCGGAUUCUCCACAGCUCAUGUGAGCAGCAUCGUGUAACUAACAUUCCGAACCAUAGCUCGUGUGAGCUAUUGAAAAGGAAAUGUUACGGUUAUAUGGAAAGACACACUAUAUGUGAGCAUUCCAAAGUGUCUAAUAUAAUUCUAAAUGGUUCAAUAGGUAAGCAAAUGUUAAAGGCAAGGUAUGUAUACAAUUGAACAAUGGUUAAUGAUCUUAUGAAAAGGUUAGUGAGUUAAAUGAUAUGUAUAUGAAAUCUACUUACGAUAUGAUUGAACUCAUAUGUAUCAUGUAUGAACUUAUUAACUUGUGAGUUUGAUAGUGCUUGUAUAGGAUUUUACUGAGCUUAUGCUCUUGAUAAUGAUAUUAUGCAUAUUUUAUAAUGUGUAAUUAAGAAAUGGUAAGUUAUGUUUGAGUUUAUACGAGCUUAUUAAGCACUAGUUGCUUACGUUGUUACUUUCCUUUAUUUCGUAGAUUACUGGAAGUUCGAUCGGUUGAAAGUUUGACGGAGAUCUAUCACACUAUCCAGCAACCAUUUUGAUAGUUUUUGAGUUAUUUUGGCCAUGAUUAUAAAUGACAUGUAUAGGACUUUGUGUAAUGGUAGUUCGUGAAUGUGUUAAUGGUUGAUUUGGUAUGUAUAUGCUUUUGAAGUUUAUGUUUUGUUUGAUGAACGUUGGAGUUUUGACAAGUUAGGUCAUGUUGGCCACUUUAGGCACUUGUAAUGUAUGAUCAUUUUUGGUAUGUUUGUGAUGAUAUGUAAAUGGUUGUAUAUGAUUCAUUUGGUAGUCAAAGGAUCUAGAUUUUGUGCUUGAAAUGUGGUUAUAUUGACUUGUUUUGAUUAAUGGUGUUUUGGUAUAAAUGUGGUGAGACAAGUUGUUUCGAAUUGGUAUGUUUAGAUGUGAUUGAAUGAUGCUUAAGCCUAUUGAAUGUGUGCACAAGUGGAGUGGUUGGAUAGGUAUGUUUUUACCUUGAAAUAGCUUGAUUUUAGGGUCAAAGUUUGGAACAUACGGCCUAGGACACGGGCUGUCACAUGGCCUGGCUACACGGCCGUGUGUCACUUGUAAGUUUUUAGUGUAUUAAGUCAGUGUGUUAUACGGCCUGCUACACGAUCGUGUGCCACAAGUCAGAGAGUUACACAGUCUGGCGCAUGGCUUGCGACACUGCCAUGUAAACUAACUUAGUGACACGAUUUGAGACAUGGGUUGGAACACGGCUGUGUGUCCUUUUGUUCGAUUGUUACAUGGCUUGGAACAUGUCACACGACUGUGUGACCCCUGUUUUCAAAUUUUGUAACUUUUUCCAAAAUCAUUUGAUUUGUUUCAAAUUAGUCUUGAAUUGCUUCUAAACUGUUUUUAGGACCUUAAAGGCUCGAUUUAAGGCCCAAAUGCAUAUGUUUGAUAGGUUUUUAAUAAGAUUUAUUUAAUUAAUGUAAAAUGAUUUUAUUGAGAUGUUUUGAUGUUAAAUGAUGUUUCGGUUGUUUGGUAAAGCUCCGUAACCCUAAUCUGGCGAUGGAGACAGGUUAGGGGUGUUACAUGUAGACAAAAAUUUCAUUAAACUUCCAGGAGGGUCAUGUUGAAAAAUCACACCAAAAGUGUCUUUUGUAUGUGGUCUUGGUGGAGGUGGAGACCCAGAAGGAAAACCAAUAGGAGAACGAAUCAUAGUAGGAACUGUAGCAAUGGUGGCCACAUCACCAGAUGUCGCAGCACAAUCCUUCCAUUUCUUUCAGUGAAGUUCCCUUAUAGGGUUACCCUCAUCUUCAUUGCUUAGAAUAAUAUUGACAGCUCCAACAAUAGUCUUUUGUUUCUUUCGACUACUUGCGCUUCCUUCCUCAACAGAAGCACUAGAAGGACCUCCUUGCAUAUUUUGCAUAAAAGAUCAAAUGUUCAUGUAUUCGUUGAUCUCCUUAGAUAAACUUGGUGAUUCCCUGAACUCUCUUUAACGACGUGAGUUGUGUCUGCAUCACCAACAAAUCUAUUAUUAAUGCCAACAGAAAUCAUAAGAGGCUUCGUGCUACCUCUUAAUCCUCGGCAGGUUUAAAGGACUGCGAACAAGGCUUUAAUUUAUAAAAAAGUAUAAAAAUAAUUUGCAAGCUCAUUCUUUUUCCAUAACAUAAUAAGUCUUAACUCAUCAGUGGCACCAUGUAGCCAUGUGAACUGAGUGGGCAAAAUUGAAACGGUGUCCGCACCAUUAUCAUCACCAACAUGCCUCCAUAUAUUAAAGCUUAGAUCUGCGAGGCAAUAGUGAAAUACAUUUCUCACAGUUACCAACUUCUCUAGCUUCAAUACACGGCCUAGCCGAAGCCGAUAAAAUUAAGCCCACCCCACUUUCGAUAUAAUAUCUUCUCUUCGUAAGCAUACACUUUUGAUAGGUGUAAACCAUUCAAUAGAAAAGUCAAAACCAACCUUAAAUUUACUCUUUACCCAUAUGUACUUACAGUGAUUCAAUCGAAGGUUCAAAGACCAAUUGGAAACAAUCAAUUCCAGUUUAUUGCGAUGAGUAAAGUAAAAUAAACCCAGCGAACCCCCUCGAUUAUAAGCCUUGAGUUGGUACAGAUUCUGGAAAACAGAAAUUAAUGGGGCCUCUUCUCGCCGGCCACAUGAAAUAAAGUAAGCCACCACGACCCACCAUGGGAAGCCAGAUAACUCCCCCAGAGCUGUCCUAUACUCGUCAAGUAAAUUGUAGAAAAAUAGAUGGAGUGAAAAAUGAAAACCUACUUCUAGUACUUGUAAGGGAAACAGAAAACUUCCAUCAGUGGUGUCACUCAAUUCCCUUAACCCUUCAACAAUCGAGAACUUAUAAGCAACAUUGGGUAUUUGAAUCCCUUAGCAACCAAGUGACUAUUCAUCUAUUCUUUCUUGGUGCUAUAAGCAUAGGCUUUCGUCUCUAUAGGAGUAUUCACUUGACGGUGUUAUGAAGGCUCACUUCCUAAACCACUACGGUUACCUUGGAUAAUACAACCACUUCCUUUUGCCCUAACGAUUGUGUCCAAAUAAACCCAAAAAAAUCACAAAUACAAUUUGCAGAUUUUAAGAAAAUUCCUUUGAAACACGAUUAUCCUUUUUAAUUGCAGCUCUUUCUAAAAAAAUUCAAAUUCAAAUGGUUUCAUUCUUAGGGUUAAGGUAACCUCAUUUUAAAAGAAUUUUACACUUUAACGAUUCAUGUGUCCAAGAAUGAAGGCACAAUCAGUUGUAUACAAUUGUACUUCUCCUCAACAUGUAGUGAAGUGUAUAUGACAAUCUAAACUGAAAAGUGUAUACAAUAAGUUUCUCUCUCAGUAAUCUCGCACCUCGCGAAGCCAAGUUCUCAAAAGAGUCACUUUAUAACUCUUCUUCGAACUAGGUGGGGGACAAAUUAUUAUGGUAUUCAUCAGUACCAUCCCGCUACCUAGUUACCUGAUUGGAUUUCGACCCGUAGCCUACAUUGUUUGCACCCUGAGUUCAUACAAGAGGUGUUAGCGUCUUUUAAUGAGCUCGCACGAUGUGGAUUCGCACUACCAUGCAGGCAAACCCAUACAUAGAAAACACGUGUUAAUUUUAGAGUAGGAUAGGUAUUGGCAUGCAAUAAGUUUCUCUCUCAGUAAUCUCUCACCUCGCGAAGCCAAGUUCUUAGAAGAGUCACUUUAUAACUCUUAUUCGAACUAGGUGGGGGACAAAUUGUUAUGGUAUUCAUCAUUACCAUCGCACUACCUAGUUACCUAAUCGGAUUCCGACCUGUAGCCUACAUUGUUCGCACCCUGAGUUCAUACAUGAGGUGUUAGCGUUCUUUAAUGAGCUCGCACGAUGUGGGUUCGCACUACCAUGCAGGCAAACCCAUACACAGAAAACAUGUGUUAAUUUUAAAGUAGAGUACAUAUUGGCAUGCAUAAGAACCUACCUACAAUGUCACAUCCGUGAACAAUAACCGUAUCAUAUAAAUAGAGAAUUUAACCGUUUUAUAAGGGAUAUACACAUAAAAACACUCUUUUAACACUUUUAAUUUAUUUUACUAAAAUCUUGAUCAAUAUUAGGAAUAAGUGGGUGCCUCAAUUCUAGACGUCUUUGCACAUUUAUAUUUUGAUUUUCUGAAAGUAUUAUAAUCAUACAGAUAAUUUAAAUUGAUAAAGUACGUACUAGCCGAGAUUUUCAUCAAUGGUUAUCUGCGUGAAAAAUAUACCAAUUUAACAUAACUAUCCUCUCAAAAAAAUAAUGUUAAUGUAAACCUACAAUCAAGAUUUCAAAUUUUUAAAUAUUUACUUAUUUAAUAAUGAAUGAAAUAUAGCUUAUUUUAAUUAAACUAAAAAGAAAAAAAAAUUCACUUAACUCGUUCAUGAUAUACAUAUUUUGCACAGAAUUAAUCCAAACCAAACCAUCAGUUGUUUUAUAGAUAAAAAUUUAUGGUAUGAUUGAAAUAAUUAUCCUCAGAUCCAAUCUAAACACGGUUCACCGGGAUCCUGUGCACCCAACAUUAGCCCGCACCAUUUAAAUCCUCCACGUGUACCUCUUAUCGUUCGAGUACAACGAUUUAGCUACAUUCGCGAGUACGCAUUAAUCCGGCCUCAUCAUCUAGUGUAACUUUGUAAAAAAGGGUCACCGUCUCUCUGUCAAUUCCUUCCUUCCAACCACAUAUAUACAGCACGCCCCUCUUUCAUUUUUCUCCAUCUCCAUAUCUCUCAGCUCAUUUCUUCUCUUGUAACACUGCUAAUAUUUUUUUUUAUCGUCGUCUCCGUCGUUCGAAGAUUAUAAAAAACCGGCGUCGUUUCAAAUGGCUACGAGAACGGAUCUUGAUGGGAGGCCAAUAAAGCCGUUGACGAUAUGCAUGAUCGGCGCCGGAGGCUUCAUCGGCUCCCACCUUUGCGAGAAAUUGAUGUCGGAGACGCCGCACAAGGUGCUCGCCUUGGACGUUUACAAUGACAAGAUCAAGCAUCUCCUCGAGCCUGACUCUCUCCCUUGGGCUGGCCGUAUUCAGUUCCACCGACUUAACAUUAAGCACGAUUCUAGGCUCGAAGGCCUCAUCAAGAUGGCAGAUCUCGUAAUUUCUUGCCUUUCUUGCUCUCUCUCUUUUCUUAUAUCAUUGAUACUACUUCCUUUUGCUGAAAAUUAUGUUCAGGCGGAUCUUUUGCUGUUUCUCUUUAUUUUCCGCUUGACUGCUUUUUCUUCGUUUUGUUUGUUUAGUGUUCCCUUUUGUUUUAAUUUAUUAGAUCUCAUGCAAUCUUGUUUUUGUUUAUGUGAUUUUGAAGUUCCUCUGGAGCUAAUUUUCUCCCAUUGUUGUUUAAAAGCUAGUUUCUUAUUAUCUGUUGGAUUUAUUUUGUUGAGUUUCAAAAGUUCUUGCUGAAUUUAUGGCGAUUGAUUUGGUUUUUAUUGUUUUUCUGGCAAUGUAGACGAUAAAUCUUGCUGCCAUAUGUACUCCGGCAGAUUAUAAUACGCGUCCACUAGACACGAUUUACAGCAAUUUUAUUGAUGCACUUCCUGUGGUAAGCAUUUCUCUUGUAAUGGUUUUUUGUCAUCUUUUAUUUCUCUUUUAGUUAGAUUGAUGUCGAUGUGAAUGAGGGGGGAUUUGAUUGUUACUAGCUUUUUGAGAUCGAAGUUGAAGUCAGUGCUGUGAACUUGUGGUUUGAUAGGUGAAGUACUGUUCAGAGAACAACAAGCGUCUGAUUCACUUCUCUACUUGUGAAGUGUAUGGAAAAACUAUUGGAAGCUUUCUUCCUAAAGAUUCUCCUCUCCGUCAGGUAACCUUUCACUUUCCUUUUUUAAUAGCUUAAUUGAGUAUCUCUUGAAAAAGGAUUUUACAUCUAUGCUUUGCUUUUAACAGGGUAACAUGUGUGGUUUUGUAUAGAUCUUUCGGUGCUCUUUUUAUGUGAAAGAUUCAAUGUUUAUUUUUUGAUUUAUAUGUUUUAUAUUUUAGUAGGAAAAAAAAAUUGGAGUUGGUGUUGAGCUGAAAUGUCAAGCUAUUUUAAAUGAAUGAAUCUUGAAAUUGGAUGGUCUGCAGACAUUGGUCAAUGCCCUCCUAAAAAAAUGGAGGGUCGUUGGUGGGAGUUUAUGUGGUUGUUUGGUUCAAUGUAAUAGCAACUUACUGUGAUAGUUGAAUGGUUAAUGAGGUCUUACUUAGUCUGUCAAGUUGUACUUAUGAGUUGUUUAUAACAAGUUAUGCCAAUUUUAUUUGCUGGUCAGCCCCUUUAUGCGCAAGCAGUGUCAAGCCUUGCAAGAUCUUUAUUCCUGCACUGAUUAUUGAUAUUAUCUUCUCAAGUUUUUAAAUUUUGUUGACUAUCAUUUAUUUUCUUUCUUUGUCAGUCAUGUUUAUAACCUUUUUCUAUAAAAAAAAAAAAGGAGACUUUUGGAAAAGCUCUUCUAUUAAUUUGUUUGCUUCAUGAGGCUGAAGGGUUCAAAGUAUGCCAUUUUUUUAAAAGACUUUUGUUUAUCAAGCAAUCUGCUUUUUAGACGUAUUUUAUGUGUAUGGCUAAAUCUGUGGUGAUGCUGAGAAUGAUUUAGUAUGCUUUGUUUUGUUUUUUUCUCCUUUAAAUUUUUAAGUUUCCUUUAGUGUUAUUGUUCCUUUUCCCCUCCCAUAUUUAUAGAUGUUAUUAAUAUGUUCAUUCUCUGAUUUAUGUGAUAUAGGAUCCUGCCUACUAUGUUCUUAAGGAAGAUACUUCCCCCUGCAUUUUUGGUUCAAUUGAGAAACAGAGGUGGUCCUAUGCAUGUGCUAAGCAGUUGAUUGAGAGGCUCAUUUAUGGUUAGCAUCUUAUCAAGUAGCCUGUUCCCAAUAGAGAUGCUUAGAAUUAUAUUAACUGACUUAAUUUUAUAUCGAUUUCAGCUGAAGGGGCAGAGACUGGGCUCGAGUUCACUAUUGUGAGGCCUUUUAACUGGAUUGGACCCAGGAUGGAUUUCAUUCCUGGUAUUGAUGGUCCUAGUGAGGGAGUUCCCAGAGUUCUUGCAUGCUUUAGUAAUGUUAGUCGAACUCUUUUCCUAAUUCUAGGAAUCCUAGACGCCGCCUAUAAUUUCUCCUUUCAAUUCUUUGAUAGUUAUAUUUUGAAUGUUAAUUUUUCUUUUUCCUGUUUAGAAUCUCCUACGUCGUGAACCACUUAAACUUGUGGAUGGUGGCGAAUCUCAGAGAACUUUUAUAUACAUAAAGGAUGCUAUUGAAGCUGUUCUCUUGAUGAUUGUGCGUAUUAACUUGUCUCUUCUUACUCACCCUCUUCCCUCCCUCAUCCCCACAUCUAGCCAAAUGCAGAAAUUAAACUAAGCUGUUGGGUUUCAUUUGUCCAGGAAAAUCCAGAUAGGGCCAAUGGCCAUAUUUUCAAUGUGGGUAACCCGAACAAUGAAGUCACAGUUAGGCAACUUGCUGAAAUGAUGACUAAGGUGAAGCACAUAGUUUCUAUAGUUCGUAUUUUUAUUUUUUUUAUAGUGGUAUAUUUGAUCACAUGUAAUUUAUAACUACAUGCCUUUGGGCUCUUCAGGUCUAUGCCAAGGUUAGUGGAGAAACUGUGCUGGAGUCUCCAACAGUUGAUGUCAGCUCCAAGGAAUUUUAUGGUGAGGGUUAUGAUGAUAGUGACAAGAGAAUUCCAGACAUGACCAUAAUAAACAAACAACUCGGUAGGUUGUGCUUUUCUUAGUUGGUCUCGUAUGAUCUUUGGAUUUUUAUCUUGUAAGUGAAUUGAGCAUCUGAUCAAUUGUUUCAUUACGGCAAACAGGUUGGAACCCCAAGACAUCCCUUUGGGACUUGCUCGAAUCUACCCUAACCUACCAACACAGGACUUAUGCCGAGGCUAUUAAGAAAUCCAUAGCAAAACCUUCUGCAUCCUAAAGGAGGCUAGAUGUUUAAACCACGGCUAAGAAAGGACUCAUGAAAUGUGCUUUAUGGCAAAUGUUACAAUUCUUCUUUCCCCCGCUUCUUUUAGGAAGUCUUUAAAUAUAUCAUAUAUGUUGAUCUUCUUUAUACCCCCCCCUUUUUUUUUUUUUUUUGUCUUCCCCAUGUUGGUAGUCAAUAGCUCACUGUAGCUCUGGCAGCUAUGUUAUCAGAAUGGUUUUAUGUGGAGACGUUCUUACAAGGGGAAUGGUAUUGUUUUAGUAUUAUAAUUAUUAUUCCAGUGGAGCUUUGAGAUGCAGCAGCAUGUUGGGGGCGUCAAAUAUAUUACACAAAAGGAAAGGAUAAACUGUUUUUAUGGUUUUUUAGAUGGUUCUUUAAUUUGUCUCACCUGAGUUGUUUUGUUAAUUUGUUUGAACCUCUUCACUUGCUCAUGGUGUUAUUAUUAUUUUAUUCUUUUUCUCAUUCCCUAAGCAAAUCGAAGGGAAGAGACUAAACUGCCUGUUUAGUCACUAGUAAGAACGUCACGGUGUUGAAGAAUUAACAGCAGAGUAACUAAAUAAAACAAAUUUGAAAAUUUUAGUGAUUAAAUUGAAAAUUUGACAGUUAGGUGACCAAAAACAGAACUACAGUGAAAAUUUAGUUCUCAAUAAGUAGCUUACCCUAAAAAAAUGGUAAAAUAGCUCUUUUUUCUGGUCUAGGUUUCAUAAUUUUCACCGAUAAACUAUUGCCGUAUAAAAUGGCAACUAUUGGUAUAAGUUCAGAUUCUACAUUUAGAUUUUAUAGUUUUCGGGUUUAGUUAAAAUCUACAUUAGUUUUUAUGGUUUUGGAUUUAGUUAUUGUAUUUUAGUGUUGUUAUUUUUUUUUUAGUUUUUGUCAUUUUGGAAAUUUGAAAUUUUAAACUUUGACUAAAUAAGACUUGUUUAUUUAUUAAGUUAAAUUUUAUUAUUUUUAAAAUCUUAUAUAAAAAUCUUAUUAGAAUAGGGAACUUUACCUGUAGACAAAAUGCAAUGAGAACCAUCUUGGCCAUCCUCAUAACGGGCCUGCUGAAAACAACGUUAUUUGUCAAAGGCUGGCCGACUAUUAUAGACUCAACCAUUUCAGUUGUAUUCAGUUGUAUGCUGAUUAGGGUGUGUAAUCGGUUAAUCGAUUAGUUAAUUGAACCGAACUAUUAUUAAUUGAAUUAAUCGACUUUUUUAAAUUUUUAACCGUUAAUUGAACUGAAUUUUUUUUAAAAAAAAUUAACCGAACUAAACUUUUUCGGUUAAUUAGGUCUGUUAACCGAAUUAACCAAAAUUUAUAUAUAUUUUUUAUUUUUAAUUAAAACAAGUAUAAAGUACAUAAAAAUUAAUCGACUUAACCAACCGAUUAAUUUAUAUUUCCAAAAAAUUAACCGAACUAUAUUAUAAUAUUGUUUAUUAAAUUCGGUUAAUUCGGUUAACUGAUCGAUUUUGAACCGAUUAACCAUUAACCGAACUUCUAAAAAAUUAUUAACCGAUUUCUGACCGAAUUAAUUCGGUUAACUGACCGAUUAACCGAAUUCAGUCGGUUAACCGAAUUAAUUCGGUUUUAUCGGAAACUUACACAUCCCUAAUGCUGACUGUCACUAAUUGUAAUUGGUAGCACGAUAGAACCUCUUGGUUGGCGAAGCCAUAAAUAGAGCUUGCCUUUUUUAAUACUAUUUCUUUGAGGCCUAUCUAUUUGAACGCAUCGUAAAGUAGUACUUCUAUUUGCUGUCUGUCAACCAAUGUUCUCCACUUGGAAGUCCGCAAUGAUUGUCAUAUCUAUUAGGGAUCGUUACCAUCAGUGUCUGAGAAAUUAACUUCAUCUCUUUCAUUGAAACUGAUUUGCCAGGCUUGAACUAGGUGAGGCCUUUUAAGUAGAGCACUAACAAACAUGGUGUUUCUUAGAUACGGUCCUUUUGUGUGUUUGAUUUUGCCCAUUCCUCAUUACCGUCGAUUAUUACGUUUAUCACCCCUUGAUUAUCUUCUUACCGCGAGCCUUUUCUUCUCUUGAUUCGCAUAAGGUUUCUCUUGCUUGGAGUCCAUUUGGCGGGGGAUCUGUGGUACAUACUUCUGUGCACAGCUGAAUCAAUUGCAUUUUUGAGGUUUACAGUCUUUUGUUCUGUGGUUGGAGGUGUUAUGAAAUUGGCAUUUAUGGGUAGAAUCUCUUUUGUACUGGUUGGGUCUCAUGGGAGGCGGGGGCUCUAAAAUCCUUGAUUUUCAAAUUGGUUAAAGAUAUAAGCGGGGGAAGCAGUGAGAGAAGUGUAAGUUUCAAAUCUAUUGUAGGUGUUCACUUUACUUGUUCCCCAUGUUGCUGGCGUUGUCUAUCAUCUCUGCCAGUCCUUUGACGUUAGGGAGAUUUGGUAGGAGCAGAGGAACAUCUCCCCCAAGUGUAAGCCGAAGGAUUUCUCUUUUGAUGUUCAUGUAGAGAAAGGCGAGCUUUGCAAGGGCUAUUAAAUCUCAGAGGGGAGGUUGACAGAGGAUUUAGACGGCGGUUUUGCCCCUUGAAACUCUUCUUUCAGCGUACUGGUGGGCGCUUUCGUAGAGGGUGGAAAGUCUGUCUAGAUAGUCAUUUAUUAGCGCAUACUUGAGGUGUUCGUAGUUUAUACUCGCAUUGAACACCUAGAUGGCCCAUUCAUCUGUUAAACCCUUAAGUUUCAUUGUUGUUGUGUUGAAUCUAGGAACAAAAUCCCGAGGUUUGCCAUCUUAAUUUCUACUUGAUGGAGAGUAUAUAUGCCAGGCUUUGUUGUAGUAUCUUGUUGGAGAGGAAUGUAAUCAUGAACACGUCCACCAACUCAUUAAAGGAAUGGAUUGACCCCUUUGUUACGAAAAAAUACUAGGCUUUUGCUUGCUUACUUAGAUUCAUAGAAAAAGCCUAAUAUGUUCACGUGGCUGCUAUACUAAACUUAUUGAUCCUCGGAUAGCAGCAAAAUUAUAUUUGACUUGAAAAUUUUGAAUUAUUUUUCAAAUUUCGAGUUAAUCAAAUUGAGUUAUUCAAGUUUAUCGAGUCAAUUAAAAUAAGUAUUUCAAGUUUCGAAUUGAGUUAAAUUUUACAAUUUAAUAACUCGAAUAGUUUGAAUAAUUCAAAUGAUAUAUUGAUGUAAAUAUCCCUUUGGUCACUAUCAAUUUUAAAAAUGAAUAAAUUAAUAUUUCUUAACAAAAAUUUUAAAAUAAUCAAAAUUUUAAAAAAUUCAAAUAAUUUUUAAGAUUAAAAAUACUUAUAAAAUUUUCAAUAUUUUUAUUUUAAAAAAAUUUAAAAAUUCUAAAAAAUAUAUUAAAAAAGUUAAAAAAUUAUAAAAUAUAAUUUUGGGGCCUAAAUAAGUAAAUUAAUUAUUUAAAUUUAAUAUAAUAAAGUAUUUUUUUCCUCUUAUUUUGCUUUGAAAGAGUUUUUCAAUAUAUAUGGUUUUAAAAUUUAUAUACUCUAACAUGGAAAUAAUUGUACUGUAAUAAUAUUUUAACUUGAUAUGUUUAAAUUUUUUAAAUUCGAACAAUUCCAUUCGAUUCGACUUAACUCAUAUUUAUCGGAGAUAAAGUGAACAAAAUAUUUUAGAGAAAAGUGUUAAGUGUUGUUUGCAUAAUAUGGAUAGUAAUUAAAUAAAUAAAACUCUUAAAUAAACCAACCUACCAUAAUUAAAGAGUUUUAUUUACAAUAUAUCUCUUGGAAUUAAAUAUAAACUUUUUUUUAAAUAAUAAUGUACUAAGCUAAGUAUCUAGACUUGAACUCAUAUUACACUCUCUUCAUCUCCGUGGUCGAACAUUACAAAAUGAUUCAUCUAUUUGAUUGAUUUCUUAGAUAAAUUAAUAUUCAUUAUUUCUUUGAAGAUUUCGCAACUUACUUUCUUUAAAUUAAUUUUGUCGAAACCAUUUUUUUGGAAAAUGACAGUCGACUUUGAUUUUGAAAAUGGAAACGAAAAAAGGGAGUCGCCACCAAUCCUUUUUGAUGAGGUGUGAUCGGCUCACCUCAAAUUAAUCAUUUUAAUAAAAGUUAAGAUUUACUAAAACGAUAAUUUUUUGGUCUACGAAAAUCAGAAAAUGAGUUCGAGAGUCGGUUACGCACGAGGAAGGAUUAGCACCCUCGACAUGCCCAAAAAUUGGUACCUAGUUGAUUAAUUAGUGUCUUAGUGUCGAAAAUUAAAAACUUGAAAGACUUUGAAAUACAAUCCCUCUUUUGUAAAAAAAAGGCUCAAAUGUUAAAGACAUUCUCGUCUCAAAGUGAUGAAAUGUCACAUCCAGUAAGUUAGGACACGACGUCUCGAACUUUUGAGAAUGAGCCUGUCUUUUACUUAAAAUUCGUGUAUUUUAGCCUCUUUUUUAAAAGGGUAUUCGAUUGUUUAGAGUGAACGAGAAAAGUCGAAACCUAGUAAGUUAGGGCAUGAUAUCUCGAACUUCCAAAUACCGGAUAUUGCCUUUGUUUGCAAAAACCUCAUCUCGAGGUGACAAGAUGUCAUAUCCAGUAAGUUAGGACACAACACCUCGUAUCUCCGAUAAUAAGUACUUUAUUCAAAACUCGUGUUGCGAUUUAAGAGGAUUGUGUCGUUAUUUAGGUUAAACGAGAAAAAAUCGAAACCCAGUAAGUUAGGGCACAAUUUUCUCGAAUUUCUAAAUACGAAGCUUGCUUUAUGAAAGAAUUAUUUUAAUGUAUCGAGUAAAACUAUGACAUGAUUUAUAGUCAAAUAUAAAAUAAAAUUAUGGUACUAAUAUGUAUAAUAACAUAAUAAUAGGUGUGACAGUGUUAAUAACAAUAAUAUGAGCAAUUAUAAAAAGAUGAAAUAAAAGCAAGGCUAGUAAUAUAAAAAUAUAAAACAAAUACAUAAGGGAAAUGAAAUAAACGAAUACAUAAGUAAAUAAAAAAAACAUGACAACAUAAAAAUGAUAAUGAAGAUGAAAACGAUAAUAAUAAUAUUGUUGAUAAUAAUAAUAAUAAUAGUAGUAGUAAAAAUAAUAAUACUAAUGAUAAUAAUAAAAGUAAUAAUAAGAAUAUUAAUAUUAGUAAUAAUAAUAAUAAUAAUAGUACAUUAAUAAUGAUAGUAUAUGUUAAUAAUAAUAAUAUAUAAAAAUAGGAAAUAAUAUAUGGUAAAAAUAAUAAUAAUAAUAAUAACAAAAAUAGUAAUAAUAGUAUGUGAAAUAAUAAUUGUAAAAAACUAAUAGUAAUAAUUAUAUUGAUAAUACUAAUAAUAAUAGUAGUAAAAAAAUAAAAAAUAUAAAAAUAAUAAUAAUAAUAGUAAAAAUGACAAUAAAAUAAGAUAAUAAUAAUGAUAAUAAAAAUAAAAAAUAAAAAAGUAAUAAUGGCAAUAAUAAUACCAUAAUAAAAGAAAAAGAAAUAAUAACAUGUAAAUAAUAAUAACAAUAAUAAAAAUAAUAUAUUUAUAAUAAUAAUAAUAGUAAAAAUAAUAAAAUUAACUAAUUUUAUAGUAAAGUAACCGAAUAAUUAAAAAGGGGAUUAAAUUGAAUUCAAACAGAAAGUUUGGGGAAAUCUAGAAAUAUAUAAAAGAGAAAAGGACUAAAUUGCAUGCGCAAAUACCCAUGAGGGACUAAAAUGGGCAAUAAUCCCUCGCUUCAAAACGCGCAGCAUAAGGAAGGACCAAAAUGAAAACCAAAAUAAAUUGCAGGGUAAAAUUAAAAAUAAUGAAAAAUUAAAUUUCAAAACAAUAAAAAAGCAGAAGGGCUAAAAGUGCAAUUAGCCCUUCCACUGAAAACACGCGGAUCCUUGGCCUGGAGCGGGUCGGGUCGUGCGUUAAGGCUCAAAACGACGCCGUUUUGGCCCUUUAUUUAAGUGAAUUUUCCAAAAAAAAAAAUCAUUUCAACACCCCUUUAAAAAAAAACUUAUCCCUCCCCUUUUUCUCUGAAGUGCUUCCCCCCUCAGGCCAAGCUCCGAUGAGCUCGACGCCGUAGGGUCGCCGUCAGCCGCAGUCUCCGGCCACCGUGCACGGUGGCCAGAAAUUCAAAAAAGGGUAUAUAUUUUUUCUUUCUAAAUUUUUAAAAUAUAUAUGUGUAUUUGGUAAGAAAAUAAAAGAGAAAAUAGGUUCAAAAUAAAAUAAAAUAAAAUAAAAAAAACAAAAACGAAAAUAAAUAAAACUUUUAUUUCGAAACCUUUGAACUCUAUUUGGUGUUUCUUACUAUGAUUUUGUGUUGGUGUUUUAAACUUUUUGAUGGUAUUUCCACCCUUUUAUGUUUGAAUGUCUGUUUUUAUUUCCAAGCAAAAAAAAGUCCCUUUUAGUUUACAUUUUUAGGCUUUUAUAGCUUGAUAUUACAACUAUUCUUGCUGUCAUUUCUUCUCCGAUUUUGUAGGUGCAUGGGCGGUGCUGAUACGGGUGGUGGAGCAGGUGAGUCAGAGGGUAGGUGGCCGAAGGUGGUGGCAGACCUAGGUGCGGCGCACCUAAGGUUUUUAUUUUUUCUUCUUUCUUUUUUUUUGGGCUAUUAGGGUUAGUUUGGGCUUGGGUUGAUAUUUGGGUUUAGGGAUUUGGUUUGGUUUUGUAUUAUUGGGUUAGGAUAGGUUGGGUUUUAGGCCAAGCAAAUUGGGCUUAUAAUAGCUGCCCCUCUUUGUUCGUUAUCGUGUAACGAGAACAGAGCAAAGACUUUUAAGAAAGACCAAUUUUUCCUGGUCUCACCGAGUCUUGACUUAUGUCGUGCUCCUCUUCUUUAGCUUGCCUCGUUCCAGUCCAUUGCACUUUUAAGAAGAUAAGAUCUUCAACUUCAAUCUGUUCCAUUGCCACUUUAGGGAGAUGGAAUUUGUUUUGAUCUACUCUGCUGCAACUUUAGGGAGAUAAGACUUGCAACUUCAACCUGCUCCACUGCAACUUCAGGGAGAUAAGGUUUGUUUUGAUCUGCUUUACUGCAACUUCAGAGAGAUAAGAUCUGUUUAUUCAUAGCUUCAAUCUGUUCCACUGCAACUUCAGGGAAAUAAGAUUUGCUAUCUUCAGUUUGCUCCACUGCAACUUCAGGGAGAUAAGACUUGUGACUUCAAUCUACUCCGCUGAAACUUUAAGGAGAUCUGCUGUGGCUUCGAGCCGUUCCAAUGCCAUUUUAGGGAGAAGAGAUCCGCUGAAAGUUCAAGGAGAUCUGCUGUGGCUUCUAGCUACUCCAACGCCAUUUCAAGGAGAAAAGAAUCAGCUGAAACUUCAAGGAGAUCUGCUGUGGCUUCUAGCCGCUCCAACGCCAUUUCAGGGAGAAAAAAUCCGCUGAAACUUCAAGGAGAUCUGUUAUGGAUUUUAGCCGCUCCAACGCCAUUUCAAGGAGAAGAGAUCCGCUGAAACUUUAAGGAGAUCUGUUGUGGCUUCUAGCCGUUCCAACGCUAUUUUAGGGAGAAAAGAUCUGCUGAAACUUCAAGGAGAUCUGCUGUGGCUUCUAGCCGCUCCAACGCCAUUUCAGGGAGAAAAAAUCUAUAAUUUUCAGCCUGUUACCCUACUGCUUAGGGGGUCAAGGCUCAUUGCCUUCAAUCUGUUUCCCUACUGCUUAGGGUGAUAAGAUCUGUAAAUUCAGCCUGUUACCCUACUGCUUAGGGGGUUAAGGCCCAUCACUUUCGAUCUGUUUCCCUACUAAUUAGGGUGAUAAGAUCUGUAAAUUCAGCCUGUUACCCUACUACCUAGGGGGUUAAGGCCCAUCGCAUUCGAUCUGUUUCCCUACUACUUAGGGUGAUAAAAUCUAUAAAUUUAGCCUGUUACCCUACUGCUUAGGGGGUUAAGGCCCAUCACCUUCGAUCUGUUUCCCUACUGUUUAGGGUGAUAAGAUCUGUAAAUUCAGCCUGUUAUCCUACUGCUUAGGGGGUUAAAGCCCAUCGCCUUCGAUCUGUUUCCCUACUGCUUAGGGUGAUAAGAUCUGUAAUUUCAACCUGUUGCCCUACUACUUAGGAGGUUAAGGCCCAUCGUCUUCGAUCUGCUCCACCACUACUUAGGGAGACAAGAUCUGUAAUUCGACCUGUUACCCUACUGCUUAGGGGGUUAAGGCUCACCGUCUUCGAUCUGCUCCACUACCGCUUAGGGAGAUAAGAUCUGUGAAUUCACCGAUGUUGCUACACCGUCCUCUAGGGACAUGAUCUGUAGAAUCGGUUUCAUGUAUCUAUGCUUAUGCCAAAUAAUUAGGAUGCUAUGAUCGGAAUGAAUCAAAUGCUCCUAACUAGAUGUGAUGCUUGUGUCAAAUAAUUAGGAUGCUAUGAUCGAAAUGAAUCAAAUGCUCCUAACUAGAUGUGUUAUGCUUGUGUCAAAUAAUUAGGAUGCUAUGAUCGAAAUGAAUCAAAUGCUCAUAAUUAGAUGUGUUAUGAAUGAUAUAUGAAUGCAGAAAUGAAAAUGAUCUUUUUUAAAAGGCUUAAGGUAUCAUUGCUCGUUGUUCAUCAGGAAUGACGUAUCACGCUGCCAUUUUGUUCGGCUGGUAUUCAGAAAAGUCAAAGAAACAAUCACAUUCUGCUCGGCAAGCUUGCCCCGCUGAAAUUUCAGAAUCCCUUCCACUGUUCCUUCUGGGACAUAAAGUUUGUAUCUCCCAUCGUAACUUCAGGGGAAUAACAUUUGGUUUCUUCCAUCCAUCCUCUUGCAACUCAGAGGUAUAUGAUUUGUAUCAUCUUCAAUCAAUUUGAUCUAUUACACCAUUCUCUGGGUGUAAUGACCAGAUGUAUGUGCCUGAUAUUUACAUGAAUGCAGAGUAUCAUUUUUCUUUUCCCGAGAACGAUCCUCUUUUACCCUUUGGUUGACAUUGCUCAUUUUCGUCGAGAUUGUAUCAUCUACGCGAUGUCUUGUCUUUUUGUUCAACAAAUAAAAAUUCCAAAGAGAUAAUCAUCUUUCUUCAAUAUUUCCAACCCUUAGGCUUGGUGAGUUUUAAACAAUAGUCCUGUUUCAGGUUCUUGUAUUAUUUAGAAGCUUCCAGAGUAAUAUGGAAAACUUCUUUUGUGAAAGUAUUAUUGGUCCACGAAUCUUCAUUUCAAUGCAAAAUGCUUGAAAAAGAUCAUAACAAUGGACCGAAAGGAAAUUAAUCAAGAGCAUAGCUCGAAGCAAGUGAGUUAAUUAAGGAUCGCAAAUACAAUUAAGAAGAAAAUUUAUUGGGAUGUAUCUUGAAAUGAAUAAGUUAAUCAAAUAUAACAAAUUCAAAAUGGGUAAAAUAGAAGAUUAGGUUGCCCCAGACAUCGCAGCUUGAGUUUUUUUGUACCAACUUCUUGAGGAUCUUUCUGAGCUCAAUAUGUGUUUAGGGGAUUCAGAGUACUUUGUCGAUGCCCCAAGACGUAGCAUACUUCUUCAUUGUUAAUUCAGGCAUAGCAAGACUGCUGUAUGCCCCACUUUGAUCCAAAUUUAAGCCGCCCUUUUCGGGUUUUCAACUCGAAUCCCUUUUGGUCUCAAGGCGCCCUUUGCAGGUUUUCACCAUGACCUCUCCUUUUUAUUUUUCUCUUUUUUUUUAAGUCGCCCUUUGCGGGUUUUCACCUUGGCCUCUUUCCUUUUAGGUAGAAUACUCCUUGACUGGAUUUGAAUUCACCAGUUUGGGCAAAUCUUUGCCAUCCAUCAAUGCCUCUCCAGAACAAGCUUUUUUUACUACAUAAGUUCCUUCCCAGUUUGGCAUCUACUUUCCUCUAAAGUCAUUUUGUAUAGAAAGAAUCUUCUUCAAUAUCAAGUUCCCUUCGUGGAAUUCUCUAGGAUAAACCUUUUUAUAGUAAGCUUGCAUAAGUCAUUUCCGGUGCAUUAGACCUCGACAGAUAGAUUUUGACCCUCUCUCUUCAAAUUCAAUUGAUCCUAUCGGGAUUGGAUCCAUUUUGCCUUAUCCAACUUCAGCUCUAACAAGACUCGGAGAAAAAGAAUCUCGUCUUCGAAAUCGAUUUUAUCCCAUAAACCCAAGAGCAAUGUGUUGCCCCGGCUAAGGUCCUAGACGACGUUUGAUAAGCAUAGAGGAUAAAUGGUGACUUCUUAUGCUAAUCUUUACAAGUCUCGGUCAUCUUCCCCAUGAUCCUUAGUUUGUUGUUUUUGUUUUUUUUAUUUCUUUUUUUUUGCCUUUGCUGCAUUGCAAUAUAGCACCUAAUCUUUAAACAGACUGUAAAAUUUUGACAUUGUGCAGUUGUGUUAGACAUGAUCUUUUCUGGCAUUCUUUGUUGGCAUUUUUUUUGGAAUUUGAUGAUUGCCUACUUAGUAGCAUUGGCUUAUGAAACAACUUUUACCCUUUUCGUGAAGUAAUCGACGACCCUAAAGAUGAAUCGGUAUCGGUUAGAAGCUUUUGACUAGAUCAGCCUCAUAAUAUCCAUGCCCCACAUAUAUAAAAUUUGUGAAGAAAUUGAGGAGGCAUAAAAGUCUUGUCUUCCUCCUUUUGGCAUUCAUGGCUUGACUGAUACAAUCCCCUUCCAUGGUGGAUCAGCAGUACCCGAACCUCAUGAUUAGCCUAGCAAUCGAAAAACCAUUAUCAUGUGCUUUUCGAACACCUCAUAGCAUUCUCACGUCUUAAUAGCCUAGGCAUAUCUUGAUGCGAUCAUGCAAAAACAUCAUCUUUGAAUUGGGAAUAACUCAAUGAUGUCUUGCUUUGUUUUUGUGGUGAGCUAGGCUUUGAUCUUCACCUCUUUUCUUGCAAUGUUCACUGACCCUUUGUAGAGUAGGAUCUGUUUUCAUCUUGUUCUACCAUCCUUAACAAAUCAGGAGAUAUGUUACAAUCUUUGUUAUUUUCAAAGUCCUAAGAUCCCUCUAGACACAUAUCUCGCUCAAAAUGAGAUUCUGGGUUAGUAGUAGCGUUACUCAUGUCGUUGAUAUUUGGGUACCUAUUGUAGGUACAAAGGAAGAUUUCAAAGCAUAAAUGAAUCUAAGAAUGAUCAUUCGUGUGGUAUGAUCAUGAACGAAGAAUAUUUGAAAGAGAGUUCAAAGAACAAAAGAAUCUAUAAAUGGAAAUAAAAGAAUAUUUGUUCAAACAAAAAUGCAUUUUAUUGAAAUAAAGAUUUUUGGACAUAAGCCUAUUUCACAAAAGGCUUCUUAUUGCUCCUAGGCUUAAAGCAACAAGCUUGUUUUGAAAAUUACUCUAAAUUGGCUGUAAGAAAUACAAGGAUCUCUUCCACAAUCCCAUUGUUCAAAACCCUUCCCGACUCAUUAGGGCGAAUAUCUGAUCAAUUUUAUUUUCCAAUUCUUUCUUUGGAUAUGGCAUUGAUGCUCCAAUUUCCAAACGUUCCUUCUGGGCCUUCGACUUCUUCAAAGAAUUCCAACUCUUUUGAUUAAUGUAAUGCAUGUGAUGAAAUGCAAUGCAAAUGCAUGGAAUGAAUGCAAAAAAGAAAAAGAGGCGUUGAUUCUGAAUUCAAUUCCAUUAGAAUAACUUUUCUAGAAAAUAAAUUUCUUUACAUAAAACGGAUUACAUAUGCGGCCUUACUCUAAUAUUCCAAGCGAAGACACUGAUCUUUUUCAUAACCGGAUAUUAUGGUCGAAUCUUGCAAAUUUUUCAAAAGAUGUCUCUAUUAUCUCAUUUUUGCUUGAUCUGGACUGUGACCCAUUGCUCACUUAUCCCUGCAAUACUCGUUAGUUUCUUUAAGACAUGAUAGCUCUCGAAUAACCUUUGUUGGCUUGGAUCUUCAGGCGAUGAAGCAAAGUCAUGUAUUCCUUCAUGAACUAUUAGCCUUCUCUUGUUGUUUACUCAGACCAUAUUCGGACGACCGUAUUAUAUUCCACUUUAUCAAGAAAUCCAUUUUCCAUGACAAGCUUUUCUAUUUAGCAAUCGAAUGUGAUUCAACACCUCUUUUCUAUAAUGAAAAUGUAAUGCAAUCAAAACAAAAGCAACAUGCUAGCACAAGAGAAAUAAACAAAAUAGAGUACCUAUCUAGGUGACCACUAGGGUUUGGCGUGGUUCUACCUAAGGUGGGCUCCUAAGUCUCUCUAUAUGUGUUUCGUUCUAAGGAAGCGUACCUGAACCAGCAGAUUCCUCGAUCUUCACCCAUUAUAGGCUCAUAUAGACCGAGUUCAGUUCAGGGGAAUACAUUUCUCUAUGGCUACACGGAGAUGAAAAUCUCACGAAGACAUAGGUACAAAUGUAUCCCGAAAGCGAUCCACUAUCCUACAUGGAGGUGAAGACCUCACGAAGGAAUAGUUUCUCACUCCCACUUAAAAGGGUGUAACCACGCGGUCAUGUAAUGCAAUGCGCAGGUAUAUACAAAAAAGCUCGAGGCAAAUAAAGAAAAUAUGAAUAAAAUGAUGAAGAUCGUAACACAAGACGGAUAAAAUGCAAUGAGAGGAUCGUAUAUCAAAACCAAAUUUUCAAUCUUGGACAAAAAGACAAAAGUUAAUCAACUUGUAACUUGACUCUCUUAUUUGGGUCCCCAGUGGAGUCGUCAAGCUGUCGAAACCAUUUUUUUGGAAAACGGCAGUCGACUUUGAUUUGAAAAUGGAAAUGAAAAAAGGGAGUCGCCACCAAUCCUUUUUGAUGAGGUGUGAUCGGCUCACCUCAAAUUAAUCAUUUUAAUAAAAGUUAAGAUUUACUAAAACGAUAAUUUUUUGGUCUACGAAAAUCAGAAAAUGAGUUCGAGAGUCGGUUACGCACGAGGAAGGAUUAGCAACCUCGACAGGCCCAAAAAUUGGUACCUAGUUGAUUAAUUAGUGUCUUAGUGUCGAAAAUUAAAAACUUGAAAGACUUUGAAAUACAAUCCCUCUUUUGUAAAAAAAAGGCUCAAAUGUUAAAGACCUUCUCGUCUCAAAGUGAUGAAAUGUCACAUCCAGUAAGUUAGGACACGACGUCUCGAACUUUUGAGAAUGAGCCUGUCUUUUACUUAAAAUUCGUGUAUUUUAGCCUCUUUUUUAAAAGGGUAUUCGAUUGUUUAGAGUGAACGAGAAAAGUCGAAACCCAGUAAGUUAGGGCAUGAUAUCUCGAACUUCCAAAUACCGGAUAUUGCCUUUGUUUGCAAAAACCUCAUCUCGAGGUGACAAGAUGUCAUAUCCAGUAAGUUAGGACACAACACCUCGUAUCUCCGAUAAUAAGUACUUUAUUCAAAACUUGUGUUGCGAUUUAAGAGGAUUGUGUCGUUAUUUAGGUUAAACGAGAAAAAAUCGAAACCCAGUAAGUUAGGGCACAAUUUUCUCGAAUUUCUAAAUACGAAGCUUGCUUUAUGAAAGAAUUAUUUUAAUGUAUCGAGUAAAACUAUGACAUGAUUUAUAGUGAAAUAUAAAAUAAAAUUAUGGUACUAAUAUGUAUAAUAACAUAAUAAUAGGUGUGAUAGUGUUAAUAACAAUAAUAUGAGCAAUUAUAAAAAGAUGAAAUAAAAUCAAGGCUAGUAAUAUAAAAAUAUAAAACAAAUGCAUAAGGGAAAUGAAAUAAACGGAUACAUAAGUAAAUAAAAAAACAUGACAACAUAAAAAUGAUAAUGAAGAUGAAAACGAUAAUAAUAAUAAUAAUAAUGUUGAUAAUAAUAAUAGUAGUAGUAAAAAUAAUAAUACUAAUGAUAAUAAUAAAAGUAAUAAUAAGAAUAUUAAUAUUAGUAUUAAUAAUAAUGAUAAUAGUAAUAGAAAAAAAUAAAAAAAUAAAAAAAGUAAUAGUAAUAAAAGUGAAUAUAAUAGUAAUAAUAAUGGUAAAUACAAAUAGUAACAACAAUGAUACAAAUAAUAAAUAAUCUAAAGUUUGAAAUUAUUUAAAAAGAUACAAAUAAAAUAAAUGAUGAAAUAUUAAUAAUAAGAGUAAUGAUAUAUAAAUAAAAUAAGUGUGCUAAAAUAUAUAUAUUAAAUUAGUUAAUAUAAAAAUAAUAACGUAUAAGUAAAUACAAAAAAAUAUAAUAUAAUAAUAAUAAUAAUAAUAAUAAUAAUAAUAAUAAUAAUAAUAGUAUAAUACAAUAGUAACAAUAAUAAAAAGGUAUAAUAAUAACAACAAUAAUAAUAAUAAUAAUAAUAAUGGUAAUAGUGAUAUUAGUAAUAAUAAUAAUAAGAAGAAAUAAGAGUACAUUAAUAAUGAUAGUAUAUGUUAAUAACAAUAAUAAUAUAUAAAAAUAGGAAAUAAUAAUAUGGUAAAAAUAAUAAUAAUAAUAACAAAAAUAGUAAUAAUAGUAUGUGAAAUAAUAAUUGUAAAAAAUAAUAGUAAUAAUUAUAUUGAUAAUACUAAUAAUAAUAGUAGUAAAAAAAUAAAAAAUAUAAAAAAUAAUAAUAAUAGUAAAAAUGACAAUAAAAUAAGAUAAUAAUAAUGAUAAUAAUAAAAAAUAAAAAAAGUAAUAAUGGCAAUAAUAAUAAUACCAUAAUAAAAGAAAAAGAAAUAAUAACAUGUAAAUAAUAAUAACAAUAAUAACAAUAAUAUAUUUAUAAUAAUAAUAAUAGUAAAAAUAAUAAAAUUAACUAAUUUUAUAGUAAAGUAAUCGAAUAAUUAAAAAGGGGAUUAAAUUGAAUUCAAAACAGAAAGUUUGGGGAAAUCUAGAAAUAUAUAAAAGAGAAAAGGACUAAAUUGCAUGCGCAAAUACCCAGGAGGGACUAAAAUGGGCAAUAACCCCUCGCUUCAAAAGGCACAACAUAAGGAAGGACCAAAAUGAAAACCAAAAUAAAUUACAGGGUAAAAUUAAAAAUAAUAAAAAAUUAAAUUUCAAAACAAUAAAAAAGCAGAAGGGCUAAAAGUGCAAUUAGCCCUUCCACUGAAAACACGCGGAUCCUUGGCCUGAAGCAGGUCGGGUCGUGGGUUAAGGCUCAAAAUGACGCCGUUUUGGGGUUUAAGGACCCAGGCCAAAACAACGUCGUUUUGGCCCUCUAUUUAAGUGAAUUUUCCAAAAAAAAAAUUCAUUUCAACACCCCUUUAAAAAAAAAACUUCUCCCUCCCCUUUUUCUCUGAAGUGCCCCCCCAGGCCAAGCUCCGGCGAGCUUGCCGCCGUAGGGCCUCCGUCGGCCACUGUUGCGGUGGCCAGAAAUUCAAAAAAGGGUAUAUAUUUUUUCUAUCUAAAUUUUUAAUAUAUAUAUGUGUAUUUGGUAAGAAAAUAAAGGAGAAAAUAGGUUCAAAAGAAAAUAAAAUAAAUUAAAAAAACAAAAACGAAAAUAAUAAAACCUUUAUUUCGAAACCUUUGAACUCUGUUUGGUGUUUCUUGCUACGAUUUUGUGUUGGUGUUUUAAACUUUUUGAUGGUAUUUCCACCCUUUUAUGUUUGAAUGUCUGUUUUUAUUUCCAAGCAAAAAAAAUCCCUUUUAGUUUACAUUUUUAGGGCUUUUAUAGCCUGAUAUUACAACUAUUCUUGCUAUCAUUUCUUCUCUGGUUUUGUAGGUGCAUGGGAGGUGCUGACACGAGCGGUAGAGCAGGUGAGUCAGAGGGUAGGUGGCCGAAGGUGGUGGCAGACCUAGGUGCGGCGCACCUAGGGUUUUUGUUUUUUCUUCUCUUUUUUUUAAUUUGGGCUAUUAGGGUUAGUUUGGGCUUGGGUUGAUAUUUGAGUUUAGGGAUUUGGUUUGGUUUUGUAUUAUUGGGUUAGGAUAGGUUGGGUUUUAGGCCGGGCAAAUUGGGCUUGUAACAGAUUUUUUAUUUGUUUUCUUACAAGGUAGAAUUAGGGGCUUUUAUAAAUUGUUUUUAGGGAGGGAAAUUGAAUUAUAAUUUUUAAGAGAUUAAAAUAUAAAUUUAUUAUAUGUUAAUUUUAUUAUUUCAGGAUUUAAUAGAAUUUUUCUCAUUUGAGGCAGCUAAAUGUAAUUUUAUUAUAUGUUAAUUUAUAAUUUAAUCAUUUAUAAGGGGUUGAAUUAUAUUUUUUUUUUCAUUUUAAAUGGGGCCAAGGCUCUUGUCUACCCCUUAAAUUGACCAAUCUAUUUGGGUGGAGAGAUUGAUUGUAAAUACAAGUGCUAAUAAUAAGGAAUUAUUGUGACUAAUUGAAAGUUGCAGAUUUAAUCAUGUCAUUAAGUUGCAAAGAGUUUCCUUGUGGUUAACAAUGUAUUCCAUUCACAUCAACAACGACUUCUUUACCCUUUUUUGUUUGUUUUUUGUAAUCCCACCAACACGAAGUAUUCAUAGUUCCUUACUGUUCCAAUUAUUUCUAAAGGUCAUAUUGGAUAAAUGGACAUAGAACACAAUGCAAAAAGAAAAAGAAAAGAAAAGUGAGAAGUACGCAAAAGUUGACAACAUUUUAGUGAGGGAAAAGAAAUCUACGUUGAAUAAAAACAAAUUCAUGCGAUAGACAAACAUGAGUAAUUGAUUAAUAAAAGUAAAUGUGAUAAUAUGACUUUAGAAUCAUGUUCUAAUGAUGAUUUAAAAGAUAGAGACGGGUCACUUUGUGAAGAAGAAAGUUAGUGAACAAAGCGUAAUAGAAGAAAUUUUAAAUUAUUAGAGUUGUUCACUAAAGUAUAGUUUAGAUAAGUUUGAAACAUUUUAUCCUCCUAAAGAAUUGUUUUUUAAUGUUAUCGUUGGUGAGAUUAUCUCAUGUUUUUAAUGAUAUCGUUGGUGAGAUUAUCUCAUAUAAAAGAUUGAGUGUAAAGAGGUUGAAAGUGAUAAAAACCAAAUUGACGGCCCACACCUAGUGCAUAAUAGCAUACACAAAAUUAAAAUUGAGAAAAGAACGAGUGAAAAGAAUGAAAAGAAACAAAUAUGUUGUAUAUGCAAAAUAGAGAAGUGGUUAUGUUUUAACUAACUAUAACUUGAAUUUGUCUAUUGGUGUUUAUUUAUUUGAAGAUUUUAGUGAUCUACCGAGAGGAGCUCAAUUACAUUAUUAUUCCCCCCCCCCCCCAAAUAGAAGAUUUUACAUGUGGGAGUGAGAUAAAUUGAACAUUUAAAGUUUUCCACUAUUGGAAAAUAUAGACAUCACAUAUAUAAUAAUAGUAAUUACAUAUUAUUUACUAUCAUAAAAGAUUAGCCAAAAUUAAAAGUGAUGUAAUUUGGUUAAGGUUUAUUGGGCUUUAGUUAUUAAAUAAAGUAUGAGUCAAAUAUGUGUAGAUACUCUAGUAACUAAUUUCUAAUUGAUGAUGGGGUGAUUAGAAAUUAAGGUUAAUGUGCAAAGGUUAUACAUUAGGGUUAUGGUCCUCAAACUACACAUAACGUAACUUUUUUAAUAUCUCAUCUUUAGAAAAGAGAGAACCAUCUUCUCUAGAUUACUUGUGUGCUAAUUUGGAAGAUCAAAGCCAUAAAAUUUGAAGAUUUCAAGAAAUCGAUGAAUUCAAGUACACUUCCAUAUCUAACUUUGUUCUUAAUAAUUUUACAUGGUAGAUCCUAAUUUAUUAAGCUUUAUUUCAAAUUUAUUUUUAGAGUUCUAACAAUAAUAAAUAAGCAAAGGUAAGGAGAAUUCGAAAGUUGAUGCAUUAUCAAGAAGGCAUGCCUUGAAAUGCUAGAAUGUGUAUUCUAUUAAUUUUUGCUUUGUAGAUAAUGCAUGACCAAUUCUUAUUUAGAGAGAGUAAGCUUAGCAUGUUUAAUUGUUCCAAGAGUGAUUAUAGUGAUGGUUUAAUGGAUUUUGUUGGCGUUGGUAGAAUUUUAGACUUGAAAUUUUUACCCUAUUAUUUGAAUGAUUCUUCCUUAAUUUCUUAUUAAAUUCUGGCAUGAUAAUCCCAUUGAUUUUGUGGUAGAUUUAUUUAGGUUUGAGAGGAUUAAACUAGGUAAUUUUGUUGUGUUGGACAGAUUUUGAAUGCAUGCUAUGAGUUUGACAAUUCAACAAAUCUUGCUAAAUUGAACUUUAUGAAGAUGGAACACUUGCAUGAUGUUCUUAAAAAUAUUGUUUUAGACAUUCUCACGGUCUGCCGAGUUUUUGCAUGACUUCACUUGACACUGCAAUGCAACAACAAAAACAAAUGCAUUCAUCAGUUACGUUUGAGUCAUUAAUUUUCUUGUCUUAGAUUCUGUGAUAUUUAAUUUUAAAUUUGAGUGGUUAAAAUGUACGAUGAACCUUUUGCAGUUAGUGCUGGGGCUGAUCUUGAAAGGGCUGUGCACCCCACACAUGCCUGGGAGUUUGUUCGUAAGGUCAUAGUUGAUGCCAGAAAUGCUGGCAGCUAAUGCUUUGACGCAGUUGCAAGCUGAUUGGCGCUCUGGAGUUGAUUGGGCAGCCGCGUUGAGAGAUCUGAUCCCAUUGCAGCAAGGUGCAGGCACGCCAACAGCACCGUUGUUUCUCACGUAGGGAAUGCAGGGUGUCAAGGUUGAUAUAACUUGGCCACAACUUAUGGCCCCUUUAGCCAGGGGUGCACCCACAAUCAAGCACAAGACCAUAACCCAUGCAAGCUUGACGGACAUAGUGCUAGCCAUAUGAUUCAGUAAUUAGAAGAAAUUAAGCAAAUUUUAUAUAACUUGUAAGGAAAGUUGAUUGUUGUGUGCUUAGGGCUUGAGGGUUUUUAUAGCCAAAAGUUUAGUGAAUUGGGAUAUGACAAGAACGAAACAAAUUAAUUGCAUACCAAUACAACACGUCAGGAGUUGCUAAAUGUGGCUCAAUUCAAUACAAAGCUUUUUUUCUCUCCUUCUCAUGUUUUGGCUUUAAGGUUUAGUAUCUUUAAUGCUUGGAAAUUAGGUUCCAUCCACCACUAUCGGUUUUAUCUUGAUCCAUAUUAUAAUUCUCAAUUAGUUUGAAUUUUAGUAUAGUUUUUGGUAUAAUAUUAUCGCUUUUUCACAUCGAUCGGGUCUUAACUCAAUUUUAAAAAUUACUAGAAAUCUAUUUAUUUUAUAAACCUACACAUUAUUUUGAGAUAAUUUAUCUCUUUACAUUUUGAUAAAUCUAGAAAUAUAUAUACACAUAAUGAUAAUUAUAGGAUUUGAACCAAAAAUAUUAUAUCCUUUUCUAUUUUAACUUUACCAUUCUAACAAAAGCCUCAUUUAUUUAUUUUUAUCAUUUAUUUUUAUAUAUUUAUUAUAUAAAUGUUUUCACCCACUAAUAUAUAUCAAUAAUUUUUUUCUUUUUAUUUAUAAUAAAAAAAACUACCAAGAAAGUUUAUCAUUCACUUAAAUUAAUUAUUUGUUUUAAUUUUAAUUUAUUUUUUGAAAUAUAAUUAUUUUUAAUGAAUACUAUUAUUAAAAAAUUGUUUCUCAUCCGUAAAGUAUAAACCAUACUUUUCAUACAUUUGAAUGUUAGCCCUCCUACUAUAUUAUAUAAUGUUAUAUAUCAUGUAUAAUAUGUUAUAUUAAUAUUUUAUAUAUGUUUUAAUGGUUAAACAUUAUAAUAUCAUUCAAUACUAUAUAUUUUAAUAUAAUCUAUAAUAUAAUAAUAAUUAUAUAUAGUAAUACAUUAUAUAUUAUAUAUUAAUUAUUAUUUUUUAUAAUUGUAUUGGUUGAAAUAUACUCUAAAUCCCUAUAUUUUCCAUGCGUAUAUGAAAGUUAGCCCUCUUAUCAUAUUAUAUAAUACUAUAUUAUACCAUAUUAGUAGUUUAUAUAUAUACAUAAAUGGAUAAACGUUAUAAUGUUAUGUAAUAUUAUAUAUUUUAUUAUAAUAUAUAAUAUAAUAAUAGUUAUAUAUAAUAGUAGUACAUUAUAUAUUACAUAUUAUUAUAUAUUAUAUAUUACUGUUUAUUAUUAUAUUAGUUGAAAUAUACUCUAAGUCCAUAUACUUUUCAUACAUUUGGAAGAUAGCACUCCUAUAUUAUAUAAUGCUAUAUCAUAUAAUAUAUUAAUAGUUUAUAUAUAUGCAUAAAUGAUUAAACAUUAUAAUAUCAUGUAAUACUAUAUAUUUUUAUUAUAAUCCAUAUUAUAAUAAUAGUUAUAUAUAAUAGUAGUAUAUUAUAUAUUACUUGUUAUAUAUUAUUAUUUACUAUUAUGCUAGUUGAAAUAUGUUCUAAGUCUUUAUACUUCUCAUACAUUUAAAAAUUAGCCCUCCUACUACAUUUUAUAAGGUUAUAUCAUAUCAUAUAUUAAUAGUUUAUACAUAUAUGCAUUGAUGAUUAAAGUCGAGCUUUUUCAGGCUUUAAGUCGAAUUUAUCUUAGACUCGAGCCAGAUUGGUGUCAAGCUUUCUCGAGCUCAAGUUUUGUUGGCUCAAGUUUUCUCGGAAUUAGAUCGUUACGAGCUCAGAUUAGCAUGGGCGGGCUUUCGAGCUCGAGCUUGUUUUGCCAGCUCUAACGUGGCUUGUUUUCGCCAAUGAAAAAAUGUCAUGUGGCAUUUAGAUUUUUUUAAAUUAAAAAUAUUAAAUUUAAAUUAAAAAUAGAAAAUUAUAAUAUUAAACAUUUCAAUAUUAAAAAAACACUAUUGAUUUUGAACUGUCAUUGAUUGGCGUUGACUGGUAUUGACCAUUGUUGACCGACAGUUGGUUAGUGUUGAUCGGCAUUAAUCUGCCACGUGACACUAUUAGAAUAUGCCACGUGCCCUUUUUUAUAUUUUUUUAAUAUUAUAUAUAUUGUAUUGAUUAAAAAUGUAAAAAUCAUAUAUAAUUUAUAAAAAAAUUUAUAAAAUUUAUAAAAUUCUAAAAUAUAUAAUUAUAAUUUUAAAAAAUAAAAAUAAUAUAUAAAAAUUUUUAUAAAAAUUUAAAAAGCAAUUAAAUUUCAAGUUAUUUCAAAAAAAGACCUUGAAAUUUAAAUAUCUUUUUAGAAUUUUAUAAAAAAAUAAAAAAUUUUAAAUUGUUUUUUUUACAAUUUUUACAAUUCUUUUACAUUUUUGUAAUAAUAUUAUUAAUUUCAACCAAUUCCAUUUCAAUUAUUGUAUUGUUUUGUAAAUUUUAUUUUUAUAUAUUUUUAAUAAUUUAUAUAUAUAUUUAGAUUUUAUAUAUUUAUUUCUAUUUCCAUUUUUUUUAAUGUGUAUAUACAUUCAAUAUAAGAAAAUAUUUUUUUUUUACAUAUAGUUGCCAUAUUGCACUCUGUGAUUGGCUAUCAAUUUUUUUUAACAUCUGUGAAAAAAAUAGAUUCAAAAAUAUAACGAAGAGAUUUUAGGUACCAAACUGAAAAGUGAUUGAUACUUUGAGUACCAAAUUGAAAGAAAAAAAUUGAAGUACCCAAAUGAAAAAAUAAAUAUUCUUCAAAAGCCAAAUAAUAAAUUAAACCUAUAAAUAAUAUAAAAUUACUUCUAACCAAUAGUAGAAUUGUAUAAUACAUAAAACAUCCAUUUUUAUAAUAAUAAAAUAUUUAUACACAUAACCUUUUUUUUUGGUGAUAAAAACAAAGAAAAACUAAAUCAAAUUAUUAAGAUCAUAGAAGCCACUAGCUUUGUUAGAUUGUAAAACUGUUAAAAGUUUCGUAAGAGCUUUAGCAAACACCCGCACAUUAACCUUCCAGUCAGAUACCAUCUUAGCUAAACGGUUUGCAACUAGAUUUCACUCCCUCAUGAUAUGUCUUAUAUGCCACUAUUUUAUAUGCUAUAAGGCCUGAAUGAUCUGCCUGAUCAAAGCGGAAUUCGAAAUAGCUGAAACCCUUUCCUGAAUUACUUUAAUCACCUUUAGACUAUCAGAUUGGAUCAAUAUCCUAUCACACCCUCGUCUAUGUAAAAGAAUUACCCUAUCCAAAAUACCCCAAAGUUUAACAUCAAAUACUGAACAGCUCCCAGACAAUGAUUAUAAUCGAGGAUCCAAGCCCUUCUCUGAUGACGUAGAACCCAUCGACAGAAACAAUCCCUGCAUCAGACUUAACGGAGCCAUCAGGAUUUAAGACAAACCAGUUAUCUGACAAUGGAUUAUCUAGAACAGAAGAUGAAGCCUAUCUGAUUCCUUAUUGUGAGCCAAAAGGUAUUGCUUAGCCUAACUAAUAGAAACUUUUAUGAUCUCAAAAGAGCUUUAAGAUGAUCCUUGAAAAAUGAAAUAGUUCAUGUUCUUCCAUAAUUGCCACACAAGUAAUCAAAAGAGACUCGACCAACUAGCCACAACAUUAGACACCCACACGCUAGAGUAUAAAUUAAAACUUAUCCAAUCAGUUAACUCGUACAUGAAAAGAACUUGUUUUGCUAACUGUGUGGAACUACUUGUAACCAGACAUCUUUUGCAACAGAAGAAUCUCCAAGCACAUAUAGAACACAUUCAAAAUUAUGUCGACAUAACAGACAAGAGUCGUCCUGUCCAAUACCUCGCCUUACACGCUCCACAUUAGUUAGAAGUAUUUGUUUAAGGAUGAGCCAAAGGAAGGACCUCACUCUUUGGGCCCCUAAAACUUCCAAAUAGACUUCCACAACGAAUCUAUAGGAUGCCAAGAAAGGUUCAGAGCUGGGAAAAAAUGAUAGAAAAGUUGGAAGAGGAGAAAAUUCAGCUGGGGAUAGACAUCGAUAUCCAAAAUUUAGAAGCCAAAAAAAUGAGAAAGGGAAAGAAUAAGGCUAAAGAAGACUUGAAUAGUUUACAAACGGAGUACAAAAAACUUCGCUUAUCAAUAAGGACUGCUGGGUUGGGCAAAACGUCAGGACAAUGGUGAUAGGAAAUCUAAGAAGAGAAGAAUAGAGUCUAUUAGUGGGAGAAAGUUCCAAGAUGCUCGAGUCUAGUGGGAUGCUAUAAAAAGAGAAUUGUUAGAAAGACAAGUUGAAAAAGUUGGACUGAAAGCCCAGGUAGCGGAGUUGGAAAAAUCUUUGCAUCAACAUCGUAGUUGCAACUUUGUGACUAAGUUGAAAGCAAGUCGGGCUAAGAAUGAGAAGUUGAAAAAAAAGAUAGAAGAACUUGAGGCCUCAUUGCGAAAUUGUAAACUCCAAAUUGAGCUUCUCAAAGAAACUAGGGAAACAAACAAUGAAUAUUAGAAAGAGCAACUCCAACGGCCGUGUUAAAAAGAAACUAGAGAUCAUGUUAUGAGCGAAGCUUUGGCCUAAGUACAAGAAGUGGCUAACCACUUGCAUGCAUUAGCCAUUCAAGUUGAUGUUCUGAGCUUGAAAUAUGAAUUGGAGUCGGAUCGUGGCCAAGAAUUAGCUUGGUUUCUUAGGAAAGUUAAGGUUUUGAGUGUUAAGGUAAGACCAUAUAUGUGAAAUGUAUCUGCUUUAUGUAAAUAAACUUGUCUUCUAGUAAAGUUGUUCUAAGGGAAUUGAACUAGAAUCAAUGUCUUUUUUUGCAUACAUAUUUACCAUUCAUUAGCAUUGCAUUUCUUUAAAUACAUUAAAUUUUUGGACAUCAUUGAUUGUUUUAUUCCACCACCAAUCGUAUUCUGGGGUUAUCAUAUGAUUUGCGGUAAAUUUGUUCAUCUUGUGAGUUUGGUUCCAUGCGUUCGAGAUUUCACGGAUCUUCUUUUUAUAAUUGUCACCCUUGUAUGUGAACUCACAUUGGGCCAACCAUUGUGUUGCUAGAAUAAACUGCCUCAAUCUGUACUGCCUUAAUACUAGUAAAUAGGCAUAUCCAACAGCUCCCCAUAUUCCAAACAAACGGACCCAAUCAAAGUCUCCAUAUCGAUAAAGAAUUUUAUUGGGAAUCAUCUAAGGUGCUUGCCAUUUAACAUCUUCAUCUCGGAGACUUUGGAAAAUUACCAUCCGUUUUUCUUCAAAGAUGUUUUUUUAUCUUUGAGUAGCCAGAAAUUCCUUCAAUGGAGAAUAGUAUUCAAAGAACACUCGAUAGGAGACUUUUUCCAUCUUCCAGAAGUGGCUAUAGAACCAGACUAGCAAGAGUUGUGCACAACCAAUAAAUCUUCCUUCACCCUCUCUUCGACAAGCAUUCAAAGACCUAAAAAUUUCAACCAAGAUUGUUGGGACAUGAGUGACCAUUUUGUUGAGUCGGUCAAACAAAUCUGAACCGCAUCCUUUAUAUAUCCUAAUGCCUUAGGGAAGAUGACUAACCCAUAAAUACUUAAGGCAAAGACAUCGAUCUUUUUCCUUGUGUCUAGGUGUACCAAGAUUAAGCCCCGUAAACUCUUCUAAGUGAUGCAUUUACUAUCCCUUUUUCUUUAAUUUGGGUCGCGACUCAUUACUCGCUCAUCCUAGUUAUGUUCAUUAACCUCUUUAAGAAGAUUGGGACAUUGGUGGCUCCAGAGUAGGCUUUAUUGACCUGGACCUUCAGGCAAUAGAGUAAAGUGGUGUAUUCUUUUACUGUGGGUACCAUGUCUACUCUCCUUAAACUGAAAUAAUCGUAAUUCAAAAAUUGACGUCUUAGUGUCGAGAAUUGAGAAUUCAAAGAAAAUUUAAAAUGCAACCCCCCUUUUACAUGAUGUUAUUUGAUGAUAUUAAAAAUAUCGCUAUCUAAAUUAAAUUUGAUGGAAAAGGCUCUCUAAUUUUGAGUCGAUCCAGAUGAAAAAGUAAUGUUCCAUAAGUCAGGGCACAACAUCUCUAUUGUUGUUCUCUGUCUUUGUUUUGUAGGUUCUUGCAUGGUGGUGGCAAUAGUCAGUCGAGUCAACGGCAACGGGAGUCGUGCAGUUUGCCAUUUCGGUGCAAUCAUGGCAGAGGAGGCGUCAGAUCCUUGGACGUUGUGCCUGCUGACGUGGCGAGGGCAGCGGCGUUGAAGGUUUAGGGGAAUUAAGGUUUUGGGUUUAGGUUUUGGGCUUGGGUUAGGAUGUUAGGUAUUGGGUAGUUUUGGCCUUUUUUAUAUGUAAAAUGGAAUGUUAUUAAUGGACCCUUUUUGUUUAUUAUUUAUUUUAUUUAUUGUGUUUGGGCUGGAAGAACUUGGGUCAUUACAAUCAUAUUUUACCGCAGUUUCCUCUCAUGUCGAAAUAUGGAAAGACUGCUUGCAUGUUGGAAGAAAUAAAAAGUAUCCACGAUAGGACUUUUACCAAAAAGCUUGAAGAAUUCCCUGGUGGCUCCGACACUUUCUUGUUUGCAGUAAAAUUCUGCUACGGAGUUCAUGUGGAAUUUAUAGUUAGAAAUAUAAUAACAGUGUACUGUGCAGUGGACUACCUUGAUAUGACAGAUGAGUAUGGGAAGAUAAUUUACUUUCGAAGGCGAAAAGUUUCUUCCACAAAAAUGUACUUCACAACUGGAAAUAUUGUGUAUUGGCUUUGCAAAGUUGCGAAUCGUGCAUGCCAAGGGCAGAAAAGCUCCACAUAUUACAAAAAUGUCUGAAUGUUGUAUCUACGAUGGUUUGUAUGGAUCCAAGUUUGUUUGGUUGGCCCAUUAUGAUGUAUGGUAGCCUUCAAAGCCCCGGUGGAAGCAUUCUAUGGAAUGGAAUAAACACUAGGGCAAAAAUACGAAGCGCAUAAUUUGACUGGUGGUUCGAAGACAUCUCUUAUUUCAGUGUAGGUUUGUUUGAAAGACUUAUCAAAACAAUGGAAGCAAGGGGUAUUAGAUAUGAAUAUCUAGCUAGAGCUGUAACAUACUAUGCCGGAAAGUAUCACCAGGCCUGGGCCGAGGGCAGAGUAGACCGAGUGGCAAAGCUAGGACAAUCACGAGUUUUUGCUUGACUUCUGUUGCUGUUCAUCAAAGGGAUUUACUGGAAAACAUCGAAAAGCUUCUCCCAAAAAAGAAGGGCAAGUCAUUCUGCCGUAUUUUACUUGGACUUCUUCGUGUUGCAUCAAUAUUAGGUGUCAAUCAGACAUGCUUGGAUUCUUUGGAGAGGAGAAUAGGAAUGUAACUCGAAUUGGCUAGCCUUGAUGAUAUUUUGAUUCCUUCUUUCUCGAAUUCGGAUACUCUAUGCGGUACUGAUUGUAUAAAUUCUAAUUUGACAUGUUUAAAUUUUUUAAAUUUAAUUCGAACAAUUUCUUUUGAUUCGACUUGACUCUUAUUUAUCGAAGGUAAGUGAGUAUAAUAUUUUAGAGGUAAGUGUUAGGUGUUGCUUGCAUAAUAUGGAUAGCAAUUAAAUAAAUAAAACUCUUAAAUAAACUAGCCUGCCAUAAUUAAGUAGUUUUAUUUACAAUAUAUCUCUACUAAUUAAAUAUAAACUUUUUAAAAUAAUAAUGUACUAAGCUAAAUACCUGACUUGAAUUCAUAUUACACUCUCUUCAUUUGCGUGAUCAAACAUCACAAAAUGAAUCGUCUAUUUGAUUGAUUUCUUAGAUAAAUUAAGAUUCAUUAUUUCUUUGAAGAUUUUGCAACUUACUUUCUUUAAAUUAUUUUUUUAUUUGUUUUCUUACAAGGUGAAUCAGGGGCUCUUAUAAUUUUUUUUAGGGAGGGAAAUUGAAUUAAAAUUCUUAAGAGAUUAAAAUAUAAUUUUAUUAUAUGUUAAUUUUAUUAUUUCAAGAUUUAAUAGAAUUUUUCCCAUUUGAGGCAGUAAAAUGUAAUUUUAUCAUAUGUUAAUUUAUAAUUUAAUCAUUUAUAAAGGGGUUGAAUUUUUUUUUUUCAUUUUAGAAUGGGCUAAGGCUCUUGCCUGCCUGCCUUAAAUUCACCAAUCUAUUUGAAUGGAAAGCUUGAUUGUAAAUACAAAUGCUAAUAGUAAGGAAUUGUUGUGACUAAUAGAAAGUUACACAUUUAAUCAUGGCAUUAGGUUGCAAAGAGUUUCCUUGUGGUCAACAAUGUAUUCUAUUCACAUCAAUAACAAUGUAUUCUAUUCCAAAUAUUUCUAAAGGUCAUAUUGGAUAACUGGACAUAGAACAUAGUGCAAAAAAAAGUGAGGAGUACUCAAAAGUUUGACAACAUUUUAGUGAGGGAAAAGAAAUCUAUGUUGAACAAAGACAAAUUCAUGCGAUAGACAAACAUGAGCAAUUGAUUAACAAAAGUAAAUGUGAUAACAUGACUAUUUUAGAAUCAUGUUCUAAUGAUGAUUUAGAAGAUAGAGACGAGUCACUUUGUAAAGAAGAAUGUUAGUGAACAAAACGUAAUAGAAGAAAUUUUAGACUAAUAGAGUUGUUCACUAAAGUUUAGUUUAGAUAAGUUUGAAACAUUCUAUCUUCCUAAAGAGUUGUUUUUGAUGAUAUCGAUGGUGAGAUUAUCUCAUAUAAAAAGAUUGAGUGUAAAGAGGUUGAAAGUGAUAAAAGCCGAAUCUGGCGAUGUCACAUGGAAUGGAAUUUGAAAUCGAAGUUAUCAAGUUAAAAUCGUUUCCGUUUAUUAGCUUUUAUUUAUCUUUCGUCCAUUGCAUAACUAUUUUCUCAUUAAUUUGCUUUGUUUGAGAAAAAAACAUAUUCUGUAACGGAAGCAUUUAAAACUGUGAUAUUUAACGAAAAACGUUCGCGUUUAGGAAAAACGUUGUAUUUAAUAAAACCAAGAUUUAGGUGCAGUUCUAAAAUUCAUGGAAAUAGUUAAAAUCCAAAACAAAGGCAAAUAGUCCAAAAGUCCCAAUUUACAUAAAAAAAAAUACCCAAAAAUAAUAGAAAAUAAAUACUGUCACUGAAAUUGAAACAGUUCAAUAAUCAUGUGGUCACUGUUGAGCCCUUCACAGCACCGAUCAGUCUAAGGCUGAGGAUUACCUGUAUAGAUAAAACAGGAAGGGUGAGUUUACGUAAACUCAGUGUGUAAUCCCCAUAGAAGACAUACAUACAGUCAAACAACAGAUAUAAGUCGAAUGCAGUCUAGGGCCUAAGCCCAUUACAGAUUCAGAUACAGUUUAGGCCUUAGCCCAUUUAGAUACAGUUCAGAUAUAACUUAGGGCCUUAGCCCAUCUCAGAUACAGUAUGUAUACAGUAGCAGAACUCGAUAUCCUACCCACCAGCCUCUACACACCAUCUCUGACCAUCCCUAUACACCAUGUGGGGUUUAAAACACCCACCCAGCCCUACACACCAAGUCGUACCGAAUGCGGCACACAUCAGUAAUAUUGCAGCUGAGCUGCCAGAUAAUAGGCAUCAAAGCCUUUUAGUACACUUCCUCCAAUAAUCAAUCAUCCCACCCCAAUGCAGAUGCAACUAACAUGCUCAAUGCAAAUAUACAGAAAUACAUGCUAAUAUUCAGUUAUUAGUCAUACAUACGGAUCAGUAAACAUGCAUACAUUUAACAUGCUCAUUACAUAUAUUAUAUAUUUAAGUUACAUGAUUUAGGGUCUAAGUAGCGUUUACCGACCCUACAGUAGGUUCACAGUCGACUUGAGUGACCCGUGCAAUCCUCGGAAACACUUUAGCUAAAUGGGCCCACACGCCCGUGGCCUUGCCCGUGCGGAUCACACGACUUGGCCCAGAUAUCACACGCCCGUGUGGCGUGUCCACGUGGGCCCACACACCCAGUUUGAUUUAGCCGGUGUGGCCUACACGGCCAUACUCCGGCCAUCACAUGGUCGUGUCUUGCUCAUGGCCUGGCCUUCGUCGAUCACAUGGUCAUAUUGUCGCACACGGCCUACCACACGGGUGACCACAUGCCCGUGUGGCAUCGACAGUGGCCUUUUCUACUUUUCUCGAAAACUCGAUUUCUACGUUUCGGGUACAGGGAAGCAAAAAGAGAAAAUUUGGCAAAACAAAAAAGGAUAGAAACUGACGUUAAAAUUGAAAGAGGGGAAAACAAUUGUAAUUCGAAAAAGAAAAUAAUUCCUUAAUUAUCUCCACAAUCCCGGAAUUCACUCCCCCCUAAUCUCACAAACCUACAACCACUCCAGAAUCCCCACUCAGCCGAAAUUGUUGUUCAUCACCGUGCAAAAAUAGCACCUAUGCUCAAGCAGAGAUUCAAACUCUAGACCUCCCACUCACCAACACACAUUUUAACCACCAAACUAGCAAUCCCAUACUGUUAUAUACUUACAAACAAUUAAACUUAAAACCUUUGAGUAAGGUUAAGGCUUUAUUCAGAAAGAGACAAAAAUUCAUUAAGAUAAGGCUUGAACUUGGGACCUCACACAUACACCCAGAACACUUAACCACUAAAGCAGAUACACAAUUGUGUUAUAAUUCUACAGAAGCAGACAUAAGAAAUUUUGGGGCGUUACACCCACGCCUUGUGAAUAGUAGCAUACACAAAAUUAAAAUUGAGAAAAGAAUGAGCGAAAAUAAUGAAAAGAAACAAAUAUGUUGUAUAUGCAAAAUAGAAAAGUGGUUACGUUUUAACUAACUAUAACUCCAAUUUGUCUAUUGGUGUUUAUUUAUUUUAAGAUUUUAGUGAUCCACCAAGAGGAGUUUAAUUACAUUAUUCCACCCAUAAUAGAAGAUUUUACAUGUUGGAGCGAGAUAAGUUGAACAUUUAAAGUUUUCCACUGUUGGAAAAUAUGGAAAUCACAUAUAUAAUAAUAGUAAUUACAUGUUGUUAUUUGCUAUCUUAAAAGAUUUGUCCAAAUUAAAAGUGAUCUAAUUUGGUUAAGGUUUAUUGGGCUUUAGUUGUUAAAUAAAGUAUGAGUCAAAUAUUUGUAAUACUUUAGUAACUAAUUUCAAAUUGGUGAUGGGAUAAUUAAAAAUUAGGGUUAAUGUGCAAAAGUUAUAUAUUAGGCUUAUGGUCCUUAAACUAAAGAUAACAUAACUUUUCUAAUAUCUCAUCUUUAGAAAAGAAUUAGAAAAGAGAAAGUCAUCUUCUCUAGAUUACUUGUGUGCUAAUUUGGAAGAUCAAAAUUAUAAGAUUCGAAGAUUUCAAGAAAUCGAUGAAUUCAGACACGCUUCCACAUCUAACUUUUUAUUAUUAUUAUUUAUUUUUGAUAAUUUUACAUGGCAGAUCCUGAUUUGUUAAACUUUAUUUCAAAUUUAUUUUUAUGGUUGUAACAUCCAUAGGUAAAAAAAUAAGCAACAGUAAAUAAGCAAAGGCAAGGAGAAUUCGAAAGUUGAUGCAUUAUCAAGAAGGCAUGCCUUGAAAAGCUAGAAUGUGUGUGCUAUUAAUUUUUGCUUUGUAGAUAAUGCAUGACCAAUUCUUAUUUAGAAAGAGUAAGCUUAGCAUGUUUAAUUGUUCCAAGAGUGAUUAUAGUGAUGGGUUAAUGGAUUUUGUUGGCGUUGGUAGAAUUUUAGACUUGAAAUUUUUUACCCUAUUAUUUGAAUGAUUCUUCCUUAAUUUCUUAUUAAAUUCUGGCAUGACAAUCCUAGAUUUAUUUAGGUUUGAGAGGAUUAAACUAAGUAAUUUUGUUGUGUUGGACAGAUUUUGAAUGCAUGCUAUGAGUUUGACAAUUCAACAAAUCUUGCUAAAUUGAACUUCAUGAGGUGGAACACUUGCAUGAAGUUCUUAAAAAUAUUGUUUUAGACAUUCUCACGGUCUGCCGAGUUUUUGCAUGAUUUCUAUUUAAAGUUAUAAUGAUUUAUUUAGUCCUUCAACUUUAUAAAAAAAAAGUUAAUUUGGCUUUUCAUUUAAUUUUUCAUCUCUUUUAGCCUUUAAACUUGUAUUAUUUGUCAAAUCACUCCAAAAAUGGAUGGAAAAGUUAAUGUUUUUUAACUUUUCUGACAUGACAUACAUAUGGAUUGCCACGUAAGCAAUUAAUUUAAUUUUUAAAAUUUUAAAAAAGUAUAAAUAUAUAAAAAUAUAUAUUUUAAAAUUUUUAAAAAAAUAAUUAAUUGUUAAUGUGGGAUACACAUGGAUUGUUACAUAGAUAUCACAUUUUAAAGGCUAAAAGAGGUAAAAAUAAAUAAAUGGAGAGCUAAAAUAUUUUUUUCUAUAAAGUUAGAAGACCGAAUAAAGUAUUAUACUAUGUUUAAAUAUAUGAAAUUCAACAUAAUGUUUAGCCUCUUUUGAAUUCAUUAUUAGGGAAAAAAAACAUAAAUGAAAUAAGUAUUUUGAAGAUUAUUUAUGGCCUUUUAACGGAGCAAAUUUAGUUUUUUACUUUAAUUUUUAAUUUUUAGAUUUCAAAAUUUAUGUAUUUUAAAUACUAUUAAAAAAAUCUAUUAAAUUUAUUGGGGUGACACUUAAAAUAAAAGACACUUAUUUGUUAGUCAAGAAAAAAAUGAAUCUAAGUUUAAUAGAAUAAUUUUAAUAGUGUUAACAAUUAAAUUUUUAUUUUAAAAUUUUAAAAAUAGAGCAACUAAAAUUUUUAAAAUAAAAGAAAAGAUUAAAUAGGAAAUAUUUUAUUUCUUCGUUAUACGUUGUCAUUCAAUAAACUUAAAACUCAUGCAAUAGCUUGAGGUUUUAUUAUAUUUCUAGGGACAACUACGACAAAGAUAAAGAGCGCUGCUAUCCCAUGGAUCUUUCUACAUCCAUUUUUAUUAUGUAGCUAUAUAUCAUUAUUUCCUUUCCCAUUUGCUGACGAGCUUCCAUGGCCUACUUCACUUGACACUGCAAUGCGACAACAAAAGCAAAUGCAUUCAUCAGUUAAGUUUGAGUCAUUAAUUGUUCUUUGCCUUAAUUCUGUGAGCUUUAAUUUUAAAUUUGAGUGGUUAAAAUGUACGAAGAACCUUUUGCAGUUAGUGCUGGGGCUGAUCUUGAAAGGGCUGUGCACCCCACACAUGCCUGGGAGUUUGUUCGUAAGGUCAUAGUUGAUGCCAGAAAUGCUGGCAGCUAAUGCUUUGACGCAGCUGCAAGCUGAUUGGCGCUCUGGAGUUGAUUGGGCAGCCGCGUUGAGAGAUCUGAUCCCAUUGCAGCAAGGUGCAGGCACGCCACCAGCACCGUUGUUUCUCACGUAAGGAAUGCAGGGUGCCAAGGCUGAUAUGACUUGGCCACAACUUAUGGCCCCUUCAGCCAGGGGUGCACCCACAACCAAGCACAAGACCACACCACAUGCAAGCUUGAGGGCCAUAGUGCUAGCCAUAUGAUUCACUAAUUAGAAGAAAUCAAACAAUUUUAUAUAACUUGUAAGGAAAAUUGAUUGUU
rnacentral:lncRNA from 1 species